GAUGAGCUUGGCGAGCGUGGACUUGCCGCCGCCGUUCGGGCCGGUGAUGACCGUGAAGCGGUCGUCGGGGAUCGUGAGCGUGAGGUCGUCG
rnacentral:tRNA from 1 species